GAAGUCCGUCACGAUGAAGGAGUAGCAAACCACAUCGGCCCUGAGCCAUGCGCAGGCGCUCGCGAGGGCGUCGGCGAAGCGUUGGCAGGGGAGCAUGUAGGCCAGCCAUUGAGCCGCGAAAUCGCCUCAUCUUGGAUGCCGACGCCGUUGUCAUGGCGGAAGGCAACAUGGGAAGGUGCGCUACUGCGAGCACCCGACCAAUCCGGCGCGGUCGUAGACCC
rfam:Mesorhizobium huakuii 7653R plasmid pMHb, partial sequence.